UACGAAGGGGGCUAGCGUUGCUCGGAAUCACUGGGCGUAAAGGGUGCGUAGGCGGGUCUUUAAGUCAGGGGGUGAAAUCCUGGAGCUCAACUCCAGAACUGCCUUUGAUACUGAGGAUCUUGAGUUCGGGAGAGGUGAGUGGAACUGCGAGUGUAGAGGUGAAAUUCGUAGAUAUUCGCAAGAACACCAGUGGCGAAGGCGGCUCACUGGCCCGAUACUGACGCUGAGGCACGAAAGCGUGGGGAG
rnacentral:rRNA from 1 species